rnacentral:rRNA from 1 species
GAACGGCAGCAUGAGGUGUAGCAAUACACCUUGAUGGCGAGUGGCGGACGGGUGAGGAAUGCAUCGGAAUCUGCCCAGUCGUGGGGGACAACGCAGGGAAACUUGCGCUAAUACCGCAUACGACCUUCGGGUGAAAGCAGGGGAUAUUCGGACCUUGCGCGAUUGGAUGAGCCGAUGCCGGAUUAGCUAGUUGGCGGGGUAAUGGCCCACCAAGGCGACGAUCCGUAGCUGGUAUGAGAGGAUGAUCAGCCACACUGGGACUGAGACACGGCCCAGACUCCUACGGGAGGCAGCAGUGGGGAAUAUUGGACAAUGGGGGCAACCCUGAUCCAGCAAUGCCGCGUGUGUGAAGAAGGCCUUCGGGUUGUAAAGCACUUUUAUCGGGAACGAAACAUUGUCGGUUAAUACCCGGCAAGACUGACGGUACCCGAGGAAUAAGCACCGGCUAACUCCGUGCCAGCAGACGCGUAAU